rnacentral:rRNA from 1 species
UGCCCAAUGAAUUUUUAAUGGCUGCAGUAUUAUGACUGUACAAAGGUAGCAUAAUCAAUAGUUUCUUAAUUAGAAGCUGGAAUGAAUGAAUUUACGAAAAAAAAAUUGUCUCAAUUUAAAAUAUACAAUUUUAUUUUUAAGUAAAAAAGCUUAAAUUUAAUUAAAAGACGAGAAGACCCUAUAGAAUUUUAUAUAAUUUUUUUAAGUAAAGAAUAUUUUAUAAAAAUUGUAUUUUAUUGGGGUGAUAAAAAAAUUUAAUUAACUUUUUUUAUAUUUUAACAAUUAUUUUUGAAUUUAUGAUCCAAUAUUUUGAUUAGAAGAAUAAAUUACCUUAGGGAUAACAGCGUAAUAUUUUUUAAAAGUUCAUAUUAAAAAAAAUGAUUGCGACCU